GGACAGCUUAUCUCAGGCUCAGGCCUGCCAUCUCCCUCAGAAGAGCCACAGCUGUGCAGGAGCCAUGAGUCAUUGGAGAAGGCUCCCCUCCCAGCGGCACCCAGAGCAAGGGACACCCACGACACACCAGCUCUGCCUUGCAGAGCCACUUGCUGAGCUACAUCCUAUGUGAACAUGCAAGACAAGUCCUUAUGGGCACACACAAAGAUUAAGGCCUGUGAACACUUCAGCCUACAAAUAUAACAAUGUCUCUUCAAUACACACCUUUCCCUGCCUAUUCAACAGUACAAGACACACAGCACUAGCACUACUGCUCCAGACAAAGCUCCAGGCAACCACCAACAUUUCCUGCUGCACGCCCUCCAAGCCGGCUCAGUCAAGGGACCAGUCAACCAAUCUGUCUGGCCCGACCUGUCAUUUCUAUAGCUAAUGGAAUUGGAGAGGAAGUAGCAACCACAUGGAUUUUCCACCAGAGUCCAGCGUUUUGAGAGCCUUAAUGCAAGUUUCCAGCACAUGUAACAUCACAAAGGACAGCCCCAGAGGACAUAGCAUCUGGAAGAUUUGUUUCAAAAAUUCUUCAAGAGACCCAGUCUUUCUCCACUCCCACUUUUCAGAGGAUCUCCAAGACACCGCAGACUGUAGGAUAAAUCAAUCAAAUGCUUCCUCAGCCACCUGGAGAGGCACAGCAAUGCUGACAGCCAGCCGGCAGGCAAACACACGCUUAUAGGAGGAAUGUAAAACAACUUGCAAACCUCAGGUAUAAUGAUCUGACAGGACACAGCAAUUAAAAUUGCAGGAUGUGACACUGCUCAUACCUGAGGACUGAGGGAUUCACCCACAGCCUAUGAGGCACUGUCACAGCAAAAACAGCCUUGUACACAAACACACAAAGCACAGCUGGGAAACAGAGAAAGCACAAAGCUGAACCCAUACUUUUAAUGAAGACCCAGCAGAACAAAUUUCACCAAGCUGUUAUAGUUUUAACCCGCAAGGCCUCCAACGGUAAACACGCCAACAACCAAGCAACCCACCAAAAAACACCCUAGAAAAACAAAUCAACCAAUAAAAUAAAAACAACCCAAAAAACCCACAUGGAAACA